UACGGGGGUGGCAAGCGUUGUUCGGAAUUACUGGGCGUAAAGGGCGCGUAGGCGGCCUGACAAGUCAGAUGUGAAAGCCCCGGGCUUAACUCGGGAACUGCAUCUGAAACUGUUUGGCUUGAGUUCUGGAUGGGGUAGUGGAAUUCCCAGUGUAGCGGUGAAAUGCGUAGAUAUUGGGAGGAACACCUGCGGCGAAGGCGGCUACCUGGACAGAAACUGACGCUGAGGCGCGAAAGCUAGGGGAGCGAACGGG
rnacentral:rRNA from 1 species